rnacentral:rRNA from 1 species
GCGGGAAAAGAGUAUACGGUGGAUGCCUUGACAUAAAGAAGCGAUGAAGGACGUGGCGUAACUGCGAUAAGCUCCGGGGAGGUGUUCAGCAACCUUUGAUCCGGAGAUGUCCGAAUGGGGAAACCCCGUGUCGUAACCCGACAUGACUGUGCCUAUGAAAAUAGACGCAGAGCGUACCCAGUGAAGUGAAACAUCUCAGUAACUGGAGGAAAAGAAAAAAACGGUGAAGUUAUUAUAACUGUUUCUCAUGGCGCAAGUCAUGGGGCGGCGGUUAUAAUACACUUCAUACCAUUCCCUUAGUAGCGGCGAGCGAAAAGGGAACAGCCCAAACCCGAGUGUUAAGUAAUUUAUUACAAGACGUUCGGGGGUUGCAGGGCACAUCAUCGCAUCUUAUGAUGCGGCAGAGGAAAAUAAGUUUAUAUAUAAUCGAAUUCUCAUGGAAAGGAGAGCCAGAGAAGGUAAUAGCCCUGUACGUGAAAUAUAUAAACGCUCUGUGCGUGUGUUCCUAAGUAGUGCGGGGAACGACAGCCCCGUAUGAAUCCGGGAGGACUAUUCUCCCAAGGCUAAAUAUUCUUUAUGAUCGAUAGUGAACGAGUACCGUGAGGGAAAGGUGAAAAGAACCCCGAUGAGGGGAGUGAAAUAGAACUGAAACCGUAUACUUACAAGGAGUCGGAGCCUUACAUUUAUGUAGGGUGACGGCGUGCCUCUUGGAGAAUGAGCCAACGACUUUAUGUAUAUUGCUGUCUAACUCCGCAAGGAGGAAGGCGCAGGGAAACCAAGUCUGAAUAGGGCGAACUUGAUUUUUAAAAUACGGUCACGUUUCGACGUGAUCGGAUUUAAAAAUCAAAACGCAGUAUGCAUAAGACCCGAAACCAGAGCGAGCUUACCAUGGGCAGGGUGAACUUCGAGUAAAAUCGAAGGGAGGCCCGAACUGGUGUGCCGUGCAAUACGCUCGGAUGACCUGUGGUAAGAAGUGAAAAGCUAAUCGAGCCUGGAAAUAGCUGGUUCUCCCCGAAAUAGUUUUUGGACUAGCCUCGCAUGUUUAUGAUCGGAGGUAGAGCACUGGAUAGGUCUGAAUGGCGCAAGCUGUCAGACUUAAUCAAACUCCGAAUUCCGGUCAACAGAGUGCGGGAGUCAGACUGUGCGGGCUAAGCUGCAUAGUCAAAAGGAGAAGAAUCCUGACCACAACUUAAGGUCCCUAAAUAUAAGCUCAGUGACGAAAGGAGGUGAAGUUUCUUAGACAGCUAGGAGGUUGGCUUAGAAGCAGCCACCCUUUAAAGAGUGCGUAACAGCUCACUAGUUUAGAGACUUUGCGCCGAAAAUUCAACGGGGCUAAGCUUAUU